UACGUAGGUGGCAAGCGUUGUCCGGAUUUACUGGGCGUAAAGAGCGCGCAGGCGGUCGUUCAAGUCGCGUGUGAAAGCCCCGGCUCAACUGGGGAGGGUCACGCGAUACUGAUCGACUCGAAGGCAGGAGAGGGAAGUGGAAUUCCCGGUGUAGUGGUGAAAUGCGUAGAUAUCGGGAGGAACACCAGUGGCGAAGGCGACUUCCUGGCCUGUUCUUGACGCUGAGGCGCGAAAGCUAGGGGAGCAACGGG
rnacentral:rRNA from 1 species